rnacentral:snoRNA from 1 species
AUUGUGCAGUGAUUAUAAAACAUUCCUCGUACUGAUGGGAGAUCCACAUGAAUGACUCCUAUACGCCCAUAUAAUCUGAGCACCA